rnacentral:lncRNA from 1 species
UGCUGCUUCCCGCUGAAGUAGCUGUCGGUGUGGUUCCUCUUGCUGUGAUUGGACACUUGAGUCAUCAUCAUCUUCCUCUCGGGCUACUGCUGCUGGCUAUGCGUCCGCCCCCUUUUUUCCUGCUGAAAACCAGGAGCGUUUCUGUAUGACUUCGGUCCGGAGUAAAAGCUGACUUUUACAACUGUACUCGUUGGUUCAGAGGUCGGUUUCAUGGAAAUCACCAUCCCUUAUUCUAUCCAGGUUUCAGUCUCAGACAAACAAAACCUAGCUUUAGUUUUUUUAUGAGCUCCUACUCAACUGCUACGCAAUUAACAGUAAUGGAACGGCAUGACAAGGGGCGGUCAAAGGUAUCAUGAGCGUCAAGAAUCCUUCUUUUCUCCGGCCGAAAGACAGAAACUUUUUGUUCUAUGGAAACUAAACAAUCCAAACUGUACCAGGGAAAAUGGAAUCUCUGGAUUGGUACUCAACUGCCCUCCAAAUUUUGGUACGAGUGCUGGCCUAGUAUUCCUUGGCUGCCAACUUGCAUUUCCCAAGCGGCCGCGUGCAAUCUUUCAUCAAUUGACAACUUUGUCCGCUUCUAAUGCCGCCAGUUGGGUACUUGUCCCUUAUCUGAAGCUUCUUCUUUGGCCCUUAUCUGAAGGUUUCUUCUUCGUCAGGCAGAAUGACCACUAAAUUGAGUUACAGAGGGGUAGGGCAAAGAAAAGUUGUACUCCUAUUCGCAGUCUAUACUUUAACCUUAUCACGAGAUUAAGAGGUCUUCUCUACCCAGUUGAGCUAACCAACGUUAUCAGGAAGCAGGCCGGGUCAAAGCUAAUUAAUAAUCUAGUUUCAUCCUUAUCUAUCAGCACCAGAUAACGUGCGGCGGUGCGGGUCCGAAACACUUGCAAGGACACUUGCAGGGAUAUCAUGAGCACUUGGUUACAGACGCAUGUGUACUGUGUUACGAAGAAUAUUAUGCACAUUACACAGUUAUAAUUACUCCCUCCGUCCCAUUAUAUAAGAACAUUUUUGAUAUUAGUGUAGUGUUAAAAACGCUCUUAUAUUAUGGAACGGAGGGAAUAUGUCUCAUGCAUGAAACUCAAUAUUAUGUUCAGUGGCAAGGACGCAGUGGUGUUACCUUGCAGAUCGGGGUUCUACUCCCGUCGAGAGGAAAUUAAAUUUCCGCGAUCUCACUGAGUUAAUUUCUUCUAUAAAAAUGUCUUCGGUGCUAGUGCCCAUGAAUCUCAUUUUUUUUAAUAUGAUGUUCAUCUUGAUAGAAAUAGUCCUAAGAACUGUUGGGUCCACCGUGUGUUAAAAAUGAACUGAAGCCCGAGUAUUAAUGGUAAACUAACGGUAAUUCAGGUCUGAGCCCAAGAUCAUCUACACCUGAUGAAUGGUAAAUAAAUAAGAUAAUAAAAAGACUAGUAUUUUUUUUUGCAUCGAUGAUGUGUGAGUGUGUAAGGAGCAUGCAAAUUUUCGGGGUGUGUGGACAUUCAAGGAGUUCAAGGAAAAAAUAAGACCGAAACGGGCCCAAACAAUGUAUAUUUUUGAAGUUCCUUUCACGACCAAAUUUUAUAUUUUGUUGCCACAACCACCUUGAAUGUUCAAACAUCACGAACUUUGCAAACACAUGAUGCAUUCGAGCAUCUUAAAAGCCAAAACAUUUCAUAUUUUUUUACUAUUUUAAAUGAUUCUGCAAUUCAUGCCUACUCGCCUAGACACAGAUGCACCUGCGCAGUGAAUCGUUGCAUUUUACCUAUAGUUUCUCAAUUUAUUUCAAUGUAACUACUCACUCCGUUCGGGUUUGUAAGACUCAUACAUAUAAAAACUUGACCAUUAUUUCAAUAAAUAAAAACUGGCUAUAUAUAUGUCCACAAAAAGUAUAGCUCUAAAACCAGAUUCGAAAUUAUAAUUUAUGACACUGAAUAUCAAAUUAGUGAUCAUUUUUAAGAAAGAAAUGUGUCUUAUAAACCCGAACAUAGGGAGUACCAAUGUACGCUCGCAAAAUAAUAAUUGUAAAACAUGUGUAUUACUCCCUCUGUUCCUAAAUAUAAGUCAUUUUAGAGUUUUCACUACCAGACCUCAUACGGAUGUAUAUAGACAUAAUUUUAAGUAUAGAUUAAUUUAUUUUGCUUCGUAUGUAUGUAGUCAUUUAGUGAAAUCUCUUAAAAGACUUGUAUUUAGGAACGGAGGGAGUACAUACUAUGAGAGCUUGCACUUUACAGCACAAUAUUUGUACAUGCACGGUAGGCAACGAACUUAAAUGAUCAAUCUCCAUCGAUCGAUCCGACGGUAGAAACAAAGGUGAUCGACGACGUCCUUGCGCGUGUGGCUGCCUCUGGCUGGUGACGAUCAACUAGCAUGAGCACCACCACAUAGGUGGCCAGCAUAGGAGUACACUCCGUCAUCACGUCCCGGCCGGCCAGUCCGGGGGCCCCAUCCUUCGGUUGGGAAGGAAGGAAGACAACAAGGUGCCAGCUAAUGUAUAGUUCAGGGUGGCCAGCGUGCAGUGACAUCGGUGUACCCCGCAGCUACCUUCCAUUUGUGCACCAUUCCGGGGAUGAUUCAAUCGGGCUACAGGCCCAUUGACUAAGUACAGGAGCAACGGGCUUUGUUUGGACCCUGUCAAAUUUAGCUGCUUGCUAGGGCGCCGCACCUGCAUGCCUUGAUCAUCCCAUUUGGAAAAGCAGCGAUGCAACUCUAGGAGUAGUGUAGUCCUACUGUUUACACUAGGGAAAUUACUUUGGUUUCUGUCAUUUCACCGGCUGGCUAGCUUUGGUUUCACUUUUUGCUGUAAAGAUGUUAUGGGCUUUUGUAUGGAUGCAUGCAUGGCUUGGUACACACUUUUUCUUUACUUGUGAGAGAUGAGAUGAGAUGAGAUGAGGAAAAGGGAGGAGCGAGCAGGUGGAUGAAGUGUGGAAGGAAGCUGGGAAAGAAGAAAGGACAAGGCGCUUUGUCCCGUCGAUGAUGCGAUGCUGGUAACAGAAACCAUGAUUGACGAAUUUGUCAACUAGCAUGGCAUGGCAUGGCAUGCACGCACGCGCUCGAGCGGUAGGGCUUUCCCUUCCCUCGUGUCUCCAUGCCAUGGUGUAGCACAGUACUGCACCCACUGUUGCCUUUUUCUUUUUCUUUCGGAAUUAGCAUUACUGCGUGUUUGUACUCCAUAAGAGUACGUUUUGUCACUGGUCUACCGGCCGGCCGUGAUGAAUGCUGCUGAGUGCUGAGUACGUACUUGCCUCGUCGCGACGCAAUCACGGGCCGGGGUGCUUGUUUAUGUUCGUGUGUGUGCGUAUAUAUCCGGCGCCUAAUCAACCACCCUGGCGCUUAAUUAAGGCCUCGUCUGGUCGGGGUCGGGGUCGGGUCGUGGCUAAUUAAUCCGGUCGCCGACGUAGCUAGAUGUCCACCCAGGAGCCAGCUGUAGGGAGAGCCCUCGCCCGCUCCCGCUGCGCCUGCUGACACGUACGUACGUACGUCUACGCGUCUGUACCUCGCGCCAUACACACGCCACCGCCUGCUCCUCCGUUUCCCCUCCCUCUCUCUCUCUCAAAGAACGGACGGUGACAAGACCGCCAUGGCUGGUGUGCAGCUAUGCUCUUAAAGUCUGCCGGCGCCAUACCAAGUUAAGCCAAGCAAGAGGAAGAAGAAGAUGUCUCCGUAAUCCGUAUGACUAGCUGUAUCAGCUAGCGAUCGUUCGGUAGCUAGCUAACUGGCACGGGGGGAGAAGUAAUUAACAGAUCGAGGCAAACGUAUAGCAAACUAAGAGACUAACUGCAUGCCUGCAUCAAGCGAAAGGGCUGGUCUUACCUGCAGAGGCAGUUUGAUAUAGGGAGACCCAGACUCGACUCGACUCCACCGGCGGAGUUGCGCCGCCACGGCAGCGAGCUCCGACGCCUCCUCGCCNNNNN